AGCUCACAUACAGAGCUUCUGCCUCAAAGGACCACUCAUUGAAGCAUGAAUAAAAAAGGCAUGUAAAGACAGUGGAGUCAUCAGAAGACGAUUAGUGGUAGGUCUGUCUGAGACAUCAUGGAGGGUAAUAACAGACAACAGAUAGAAAGAUCAGAAGAAAUAUCCCCAGAGACGUCUCCUAUGAUGGUCCCGACAACCCAACCACGCUCCUCAAUGUUCUCCUGCUGUUUGUGGAUGGCAUCUGAUGAACCUGUAGACGUCCCAGCUAGUAAUGUCACACAAGACUCUARUGUGAAGCCGCCCACCAGACAGUCUCAUGUCAACAACCCAGACACCAGCGAACACAAAAUACGGUAGGGAGAUUGGGGAUAGUGGGGACACCAUUUGGUGAAAAUUAUUAAUGUAGGGAGUUUUGGAGGAAAACAAAGUAAGUAUUCCUAUUACUGGUAGUUAUGUUAUAACACCUGUUUAAACAAAGCAUGAUUUAUUCCUGUUUUGUUCUGCAGUUUGGAGAAUACUGAGCUGCAAGGUUUGCCCC